rnacentral:rRNA from 1 species
AUGGGGCAACGGCUGCUGUGGCCGUGCGAGUGCGUCCGGUGCGUCAUCACGGUGGAUCGCGGCCGGAGAUGGUGCAAAACACAUGUGACUACGAUCGUCGCGUCCCCAUGGGCUGAUGGGCGUUCUGGAUUGCCACGUGCGCAUACAGUUGCUGUUGUUCGCGGCCGUCGCUUUCAGCUCCGGCAGCGUCCGUGGCCGCCGCGGGGAACGUGGAGCGGCAACCGUCGAGGUCGGCUUAGCAAGAAGAACGCGCUCGUCGACGGGCACUCCCCAGCCCACAUCUGCUCGCUGACGGGCAAGGAGCUGACGAGCGCGUUCCGGUGCCUCAGCCGGCUAAUGAUGCUCACCUCAGAGACGAGCUCCUUCCAUCCAUGUACCCCAUUGGAUCCUCUGCCGCUCUGCCUAGCAUGCAAGUCGAUCGACUAG